GAUGAACGCUAGCGAUAGGCUUAACACAUGCAAGUCGAGGGGCAGCAUGAACAAAGCUUGCUUUGUUUGAUGGCGACCGGCGCACGGGUGCGUAACACGUAUGCAACUUACCCAUAAAGCGAGGAUAACCCGGAGAAAUUCGGACUAAUACUCGAUGGUAUUAUUGGGAGGCAUCUUCUAAUAAUUAAAGAUUUAUCGAUUAUGGAUAGGCAUGCGCAUGAUUAGCUAGUUGGUGAGGUAACGGCUCACCAAGGCGACGAUCAUUAGGGGUUCUGAAAGGAAGGUCCCCCACACUGGUACUGAGACACGGACCAGACUCCUAAGGGAGGCAGCAGGGAGGAAUAUUGGUCAAUGGACGAGAGUCUGAACCAGCCAAGUCGCGUAAAGGAAGACUGCCCUAAGGGUUGUAAACUUCUUUUGUGUGGGAAUAAAAAGAGGGACGUGUCCCUCAUUGUAUGUACCAUACGAAUAAGGAUCGGCUAACUCCGUGCCAGCCGCCGCCGUAAAAC
rnacentral:rRNA from 1 species